rnacentral:rRNA from 1 species
AUUGAACGCUGGCGGCGUGCCUAACACAUGCAAGUCGAGCGGUAACAGGUGUAGCAAUACAUGCUGACGAGCGGCGGACGGGUGAGUAACGCUUGGGAAUCUGCCUGUUAGUGGGGGACAACCCGGGGAAACUCGGGCUAAUACCGCAUACGCACUACGGUGGAAAGCCGGGGACCGCAAGGCCUGGCGCUAACAGAUGAGCCCAAGUCGGAUUAGCUAGUUGGUAGGGUAACGGCCUACCAGGGCGACGAUCCGUAACUGGUCUGAGAGGACGACCAGUCACACCGGAACUGAGACACGGUCCGGACUCCUACGGGAGGCAGCAGUGGGGAAUAUUGGACAAUGGGCGAAAGCCUGAUCCAGCGACGCCGCGUGGUGAAGAAGGCCUGCGGGUUGUAAAGCCCUUUCGGUGGGGAAGAAAAGCCUCGAGUUAAUACCUCGGGUCUUGACGUACCCAUAGAGAAGCACCGGCUAACUCUGUGCCAGCCGCCGCCGUAAG